CGGAAGUGGCUCAGUGGUAGAGCAUCGCCUUGCCAAGGCGAGGGUCGCGGGUUCGAAUCCCGUCUCGU
rnacentral:tRNA from 1 species